UACGUAGGGUGCGAGCGUUAAUCGGAAUUACUGGGCGUAAAGCGUGCGCAGGCGGUUUUGUAAGUCUGUCGGGAAAUCCCCGGGCUCAACCUGGGAAUUGCGAUGGAGACUGCAAGGCUAGAAUCUGGCAGAGGGGGGUAGAAUUCCACGUGUAGCAGUGAAAUGCGUAGAGAUGUGGAGGAACACCGAUGGCGAAGGCAGCCCCCUGGGUCAAGAUUGACGCUCAUGCACGAAAGCGUGGGGAGCAAACAGG
rnacentral:rRNA from 1 species